GACGAACGCCGGCGGCGUGCUUAACACAUGCAAGUCGAACGGAAAGGCCCUGCUUGCAGGGUACUCGAGUGGCGAACGGGUGAGUAACACGUGGGUGAUCUGCCCUGCACUUCGGGAUAAGCCUGGGAAACUGGGUCUAAUACCGGAUAGGAGCCAUUUUUAGUGUGAUGGUUGGAAAGUUUUUUCGGUGUAGGAUGAGCUCGCGGCCUAUCAGCUUGUUGGUGGGGUAAUGGCCUACCAAGGCGGCGACGGGUAGCCGGCCUGAGAGGGUGGACGGCCACAUUGGGACUGAGAUACGGCCCAGACUCCUACGGGAGGCAGCAGUGGGGAAUAUUGCACAAUGGGCGCAAGCCUGAUGCAGCGACGCCGCGUGGGGGAUGACGGCCUUCGGGUUGUAAACUCCUUUCGCUAGGGACGAAGCUUUUUGUGACGGUACCUAGAUAAGAAGCACCGGCUAACUACGUG
rnacentral:rRNA from 1 species